CCAUGCAUGACAUAUUGUCACAUAUGAUUGUGGCAAGUGACCCAACUGGCAAACACAUGCCAGAGGCUGAGGUUGCUGAUAAGAUCAUGGGUUUGCUGACAGCAGGAUACAGCACUGUGGCUACUGCCAUGACUUUCUUCAUGAAAUAUGUUGGAGAGAGGCCAGACAUUUAUGCCAAAGUCCUAGCUGGUAAUAAUCACCUCAAAUUUACCUUACUAAUUGAUUUUCAAUAAUUGAAAUUGGAGCUUUGGUUAUUUUUUGGUGCUUAAUUUGAUUUGUCAUGUAAAAACCAGAACACAAGGAGAUUGCAGACUCAAAGAAGCCUGGACAAUUUUUGGAGUGGGAUGACGUCAACAAGAUGAAGUACUCAUGGAAUGUAUUGUAUGAAGUGAUGAGAUUCACACCACCACUUCAGGGGACAUUCAGAGAAGCCUUGACUGAUUUCACCUAUGCUGGUUACACCAUCCCAAAGGGCUGGAAGGUAAAUAUGUCACCAAUGCUGUUAAAUUUUUUAGGGAGAUUCACUAUUAUACCCAAUACAUAGGCCCAAAUUAUAAAAAUACCCUAUAUGAAAUGAACUUUAGAAACACACCCAAAGCCCAUUUACAACAUAACAAAGAGGCUUUAACUUCUUAUAAAUUACAAAACUGCUAUCAAUUUAUUAAAACAAGCCCAAACCCAAAAUCUCAUAAAAAUACCCAAAACACUCAAUAGGGCAUCAAAGUAAUUUAAUAAUCAAUAUUAAAUUCAAUAAGGUCAGCUGUCAUUUUUUGGGUUUGUUUAUAAACAUUCAAUAGUGUAGGAUUUAUUUAUAAUAUUAGUGCUAAGAAUGGGUAUAUCACUAAAUAUCUCAAUUUUUUACUGAUAACUUGUUCAUAUUUUGUCUGCCUUUUUAGCAUUUGGAUUGAAACUAAAAUCUUAAAUAUUAUUCUUAUGCAGGUGUAUUGGACUGUAAGUACAACAAACAUGAACCCAAAGUACUUUCCCAACCCAGAAAAGUUUGACCCCUCAAGAUAUGAUGACUUGAAUGCAUUCCCAGCUUUCACAUUUGUUCCAUUUGGAGGAGGACCAAGAAUGUGUCCUGGCAAAGAGUAUGCAAGGCUUGCAAUUCUCACUUUUGUUCACAAUGUGGUGAUGAGGUUCAAAUGGGAAGUAUUGUUCCCUAAGGAGAAGAUCACUGGCGACAUGAUGCCGACACCAGAGAAAGGACUUCCGGUUCGCCUUAUACGUCACUAGGCAUCCAUCUGUUAUGAAAUUUUCUGUGUUUUGAAAUACCGUCCUUAUAUGUUUCCCUUCAGGUAAUGAUGCAAUGAUGUGAUCAUUACCUCAUAACUAAAUGAGUAACCCUUUUUUUAUUUGUAUAUUUGGAAUUGGAAGUUCAUUAGAAGAGAUAAUAAUAAAUUUACGUUUUAUUAAUUUGUUGAUUUGGCCAUCACUUUCUUCUGCAACCUCUCUGCAGAACAGGAAGAAGUAUAAAUAAACCAUAUGUUAUAACUUUAAUCUUGAAAUGCGAAUGAGUGGUUUGGUUUGCCAUGGAUGGCGUUCUAAAGUUGGUUUUCAGUUUACUGUAGACUAAUUAAUAAAUUAUUGUUCAAGUUGGUUGUAAAAAAAAAAAAAAAGAUAGAUAAAUCACUAGUUCUUGGUUUUUUUUUGAGAACCUUUCCUAUUGUGAGGGGCGAUAAUAUUACUAAACUCACACACACUACACGGAUGCUAUGACUUGAACUCAGGACCUUUCCUAGGAAGAGCAAUUGUUCCAAACCACUACACUAGUUCUUAGUUAAUCUAAAGACAAUUGGCCAUUUUUAACAUUUCAGCUAUGAUGCUUUUCAUUUAGAGCAUGAUCAAUGGAGUCGUUUUGAAUUUUUUAGAGCAUGACCCUUCGGCCAUUUUGACUCUACUUUUGGUUCUACUUUGGACCACCACAUUUUAAAAACAGACGUUCAAAGUACUCAGUCCAGCAAUAAACUUCUAAAUAUUGGGUCAUCAUGCCACAAAUUAUAGAAGUUAAACAAGGAAAAACAAUUUGGUAUUGCUUCUUUAGUAAUGGACACCAUCAGGAGACAGAUUUGAGCUGUAACCAUAAACCUUUUCAUGCAGCACAUAACUGGUAAUAACAUUUGCAAGUUGCAAUAUUUCUUGGUACCACAUGUUAUUUCAUUUCUUGAUGCAGUUCUGCCCUUUGGGGUUGAAUCUGUUAGGGACAGGAACCAGAAUCAGGGUAGCUAAAAAUAAAUUUUAGAAUGGCCUCUCCUUCCUUAGUUUUAUUUAUUUAUUUAUUCCCCCUAGAUUCUAAUAUUUGGCAGAAUUCAUCUUGGUGAUGAGUUAACAUAUGUUUGGACUUUGGAGAAGCCCACAGAGUUUUCCUUUGCACUGAUGACUUGUGGGUGGGCAGAACCCACUGUAACUGGAACAAGAAUACAAGCCAUGGUAGGGUAUCAAUUAUUUUUUAUAUUUUAUAUUUAAUACAAGACCACUGAUCUAGACCCCGUUGGCGGGCAUAAAUUGGUUUAACAAGUCAUAUUGUUGCCUGUAAAAGGUAAAACUCUUUAAAUAUUAAAAAGCUCAAGACCCAUCAAACCAACUUAAACAGAAAAUCUUGCAGUAUUUCUAGUGGAAACAUGAUUGCUAUAAGCCAAGCCUUGGUAUCUUUAACGGAGCAAAUAACGAUGUGUUUGUGAAACUCUACUGGUAGAUAUGUGAAUAUUUUAUUAAUGUUACGCAUAUGGAUAGUUGAAUAAUUUAUAUGAAAACAAGUCCAUCUUUGGAAUAUUCAAACUUGACAACUUUUGGCUGCGAACUCAAAGUUAGACUUUGACGCAAUAGGACCUGGCCCUAUAUAAACCAACCCUUCCAAGCUCCAUAAACAUCACUCCCUGCUUAGCCUCUGUUCCUAACUUAGCUUCUCUUCCUAAACAUAAGCCAAUCUCAGCUAACAAUUUGAGGCUUGAUCAGCAACAACCAUGGAGACCCUUUACCUUGCCUAUCUUUAGGUGCUGCUUUUUUAGCUCUAACCAUCUUUGCAUUCAAAGGGAAAUCAGAUGAUGGCAAAAACCUUCCACCAGGGAGCAUGGGGUGGCCUAUUGUGGGUGAAACUCUGGAGUUUCUGUUUGGGAAGCCAGAAAUCUUUGUGUCCAAGAGGAUGAGGAGGUACUCCCCUGAAAUCUUCAAGACCAAGAUUCUUGGAGAGAAAACUGCUGUUAUUUGUGGUCCUAAUGGACACAAAUUUCUGUUUUCCAAUGAGCAGAAGUACUUCACAGCUUUUCGACCACAUUCCAUGCAAAAGAUGUUUCGUUCGUAUAAGGCUCCUGCAGCAGCAGCUGCUGCUGCUGCUCCUCCAGCAGUAACACAACCUGCUCGUGACGAAGAAGCCAAAGUGUUGAGGUCACCGGGGUUUUUGAAGCCCGAAGCAUUGGUAAGGUACUUGGGUGUAAUGGACUCUAUCACCCAAGCACAGAUGAAGGCCUAUUGGGAAGGCAAAGAUGAGGUGGAGGUGUACCCUCUGACCAAGACCCUCACUCUAGGCCUUGCCUGCAGAUUCUUCUUGGGCAUAGAUGAGCCAGACAGAAUUGCAAGGUUUGUGAGCAAUUUCGAUGAUGUGACUGUUGGGAUGCAUUCACUUAUUCUGAAUUUCCCAGGAACAACAUUCUACAAAGCAACCAAAGCAGCCGAUGAACUUCGAAGGGAGUUGAAGAUUGUGAUUCAGGAGAAGAAGGCUGCAAUGGCAUCAGGAGCUCCCAUGCAUGACAUAUUGUCACAUAUGAUUGUGGCAAGUGAUCCAACUGGCAAACACAUGCCUGAGGCUGAGGUUGCUGAUAAGAUCAUGGGUUUGCUGACAGCAGGAUACAGCACUGUGGCUACUGCCAUGACUUUCUUCAUGAAAUAUGUUGGAGAGAGGCCAGACAUUUAUGCCAAAGUCCUAGCAGGUAAUUAAUCUCCUCAACUUCACCUUACUAACUGUUUUUCAAUUGUUCAUUGAUUUGGUUAUUUGUUAUUUGUGCUAAAAAUUUGAUUUGUCUUGUAAAAACCAGAACACAAGGAGAUAGCAGACUCAAAGAAGCCUGGACAAUUUUUGGAGUGGGAUGACAUCAACAAAAUGAAGUACUCAUGGAAUGUAUUGUAUGAGGUGAUGAGAUUCACACCACCACUUCAGGGGACAUUCAGAGAGGCUUUGACUGACUUCACCUAUGCNNNNNNNNNNNNNNNNNNNNNNNNNNNNNNNNNNNNNNNNNNNNNNNNNNNNNNNNNNNNNNNNNNNNNNNNNNNNNNNNNNNNNNNNNNNNNNNNNNNNACCGAUGCUGUUAAAAAAUUUAUGCUGUGAAAAACUUGUUCACUUUUUGUCUGCCUUAUUAGCUUUUGGAUUGAAACUAAAAUCUUAAAUAUUUUUCUUAUGCAGGUAUAUUGGACUGUUAGUACAACAAACAUGAACCCAGAGUACUUUCCCAACCCAGAAAAGUUUGACCCUUCACGAUAUGAUGACUUGAGUGCAUUCCCAGCUUUCACAUUUGUUCCAUUUGGAGGAGGACCAAGAAUGUGCCCUGGGAAAGAAUAUGCAAGGCUAGCAAUACUCACUUUUGUUCACAAUGUGGUGAUGAGGUUCAAAUGGGAAGUGCUAUUUCCUAACGAAAAGAUCACAGGUGACAUGAUGCCGACACCAGAGAAAGGACUUCCGGUUCGCCUUACACGUCACUAGGAAUCGAACUAAUACGAAGUUUUCUCUGUUUUGGAACACUUGUACUGCCCAUCACAGCAGAAGUGGUUGCUGGUGGCAGCCUCCAUCUCUGGUGGUACCAUAGUAGCAGCUGGCUAGGCUCAGCGAGUGGUACUGCUUGCCCAUCUUCAAUCCUAGAAUAUUUUCCUGAGUGUGCUCUCCAUUGUUUCUAUUCUUUAGGCAUCUGGCAGCAUUGUAUUAUGUCUUACUUCUUUCGUAUAUCUAAGAAUAAUUUUAACGACUGGGGGAAAAUUUUACCUCGUAUUAAAAAUUCUCUUCUCUAGCUUCCAAGCUAUCAAGUCUCACUGUCUCCAGACUAUCAACUCUCACUCUCUCAAAUUCCAUGGAUGAUUUAGCUGCUGUUACACCAGUACUAGUGCGAAACCGUACCGUCACCUCAUGUAUGACAACAACAAUACACCGUGAGGGGAUUGCCCCUUGAUCAAUCACCUAACAACAAUUACACGCCAGCUGGAAAAAUCCAUGUUUCAAUUAUCAGGGCUGGUUCUGGCUAGGGUUUAUAUCGGGUGUUUGGGAGGGAAGAACGGAGAACGAAGAAGAAGAAAGAAACAAUGUGACUAAUUGCUAGAUGUGCAGUUUGAUUUUGUUUGGGCGGUUUGGACUUAAGCCCAAUUAUUUUUUUUCUUUUUUUCUUUUUUGUGUUGCAUAUUUUUUAAGUUAGUCUAAUUCUACAACAUUCUAACAUCCUUUUUAUUUUCAAAGUAACAAAAUAAUGAUUUAAUGAUGUUAGUUAUUAGUUACAACUUAAUAUUUUCAGAUAAGUACAAAUAAAAUCAGCAAUGAACAAUUUGGUUCAGUUUAGAGCCUUGUAUAAUAAGGCUGAAACAACACAAUACAAUACAAUGUCGUUCAGUAUUGAGACCGCUUUAACUUAUUGAUUUUCAAAAUCGAACAAAAUCACAAUUACUUACCAUUUGGAUCCGCCUGUUUGAUGCCCUCUAAUUCCCAUAGCCUCCUAAUUUUUGGUGUGGGAGACUUGGAUGCAGACUUGUUUGGAUGAUUGGGGUAAAUGGUAUUAUUCCCAAAUUAGUAUGGCAUAUUAAACCCUGUAUUGUAUGGUUCUAUCUUUUGGUUGGAAGUUGCUUGCCACAACAUGAUGUACACCAGGUAAUUGAGUAGUGAUCAUAGAUGACCAUUUAAUGGAGGUAAAAAAGAAAUAGAUUUUCCAAUUGUAAUUUGAAGAUAGUUUUUCACUCAUUCACCUACCAAAUAUAUGGGCCAAAGUCAACAUAUAUAACACCAAUGAGGCUCAAAUGUAUAUUUAUUAUCUCUUCUAGUUCAACAUGAAAUAUACAAAUAGAAAAGGGGAUACCAAUAUCACAUGAUAUUACAACCAACCAAAAAAACAAGGAAGAAUUUCAAAAUAAUCUGAUGCCUAGUGACGAUGAAGACGAACCGGAAGUCCUUUCUCCGGUGUUGGCAUCAUGUCACCUGUAAUCUUUUCGUUAGGAAAUAGCACUUCCCAUUUGAACCUCAUCACCACAUUGUGAACAAAAGUGAGUAUGGCUAGCCUUGCAUACUCUUUGCCAGGGCACAUUCUUGGUCCUCCUCCAAAUGGAACAAAUGUGAAAGCUGGGAAUGCAUUCAAGUCAUCAUAUCUUGAGGGGUCAAACUUUUCUGGGUUGGGAAAGUACUCUGGGUUCAUGUUUGUUGUACUAACAGUCCAAUAUACCUGCAUAAGAAAAAUAUUUAAGAUUUUAGUUUCAAUCCAAAAGCUAAUAAGGCAGACAAAAAGUGAACAAGUUUUUCACAGCAUAAAUUUUUUAACAGCAUCGGUGACAUAUUUACCUUCCAGCCCUUUGGGAUGGUGUAACCAGCAUAGGUGAAGUCAGUCAAGGCUUCUCGGAAUGUCCCCUGAAGUGGUGGUGUGAAUCUCAUCACUUCAUACAAUACAUUCCAUGAGUACUUCAUCUUGUUGAUGUCAUCCCACUCCAAAAAUUGUCCAGGCUUCUUUGAGUCUGCAAUCUCCUUGUGUUCUGGUUUUUAUAUGACAAUUCAAAUUAAGCACCAAAAAAUAUCCAAAGCUCCAAUUUCAAUUAUUGAAAAUCAAUUAGUAAGGUAAAGUUGAGGUGAUUAUUACCAGCUAGGACUUUGGCAUAAAUGUCUGGCCUCUCUCCAACAUAUUUCAUGAAGAAAGUCAUGGCAGUAGCCACAGUGCUGUAUCCUGCUGUCAGCAAACCCAUGAUCUUAUCAGCAAUCUCAGCCUCAGCCAUGUGUUUGCCAGUUGGAUCACUUGCCACAAUCAUAUGUGACAAUAUGUCAUGCAUGGGAGCUCCUGAUGCCAUUGCAGCCUUCUUCUCCUGAAUCACAAUCUUCAACUCCCUUCGAAGUUCAUCGGCUGCUUUGGUUGCUUUGUAGAAUGUUGUUCCUGGGAAAUUCAGAAUAAGUGAAUGCAUCCCAACAGUCACAUCAUCGAAAUUGCUCACAAACCUUGCAAUUCUGUCUGGCUCAUCUAUGCCCAAGAAGAAUCUGCAGGCAAGGCCUAGAGUGAGGGUCUUGGUCAGAGGGUACACCUCCACCUCAUCUUUGCCUUCCCAAUAGGCCUUCAUCUGUGCUUGGGUGAUCGAGUCCAUUACCCCCAAGUACCUUACCAAUGCUUCGGGCUUCAAAAACCCCGGUGACCUCAACACUUUGGCUUCUUCGUCACGAGCAGGUUGUGCUACUGCUGGAAGAGCAGCAGCAGCAGCUGCUGCUGCAGGAGCCUUAUACGAACGAAACAUCUUUUGCAUGGAAUGUGGUCGAAAAGCUGUGAAGUACUUCUGCUCAUUAGAAAACAGAAAUUUGUGUCCAUUAGGACCACAAAUAACGGCAGUUUUCUCUCCAAGAAUCUUGGUCUUGAAGAUUUCAGGGGAGUACCUCCUCAUCCUCUUGGACACAAAGAUUUCUGGCUUCCCAAACAGAAACUCCAGAGUUUCACCCACAAUAGGCCACCCCAUGCUCCCUGGUGGCAGGUUCUUGCCAUCAUCUGAUUUGCCUUUGAAUGCAAAGAUGAUAAACGCUAAAAAAGCAGCACCCAAAGACAAAGCAAGGUAAAGGGUCUCCAUGGUUGUUGCUGAUCAAGCCUCAAAUUGUUAGCUGAGAUUGGCUUAUGUUUAGGAAGAGAAGCUAAGCAGGGAGUGAUGUGUAGGAGCUUGGAAAGUUUGGUUUAUAUAGGGCCAGAUCCCACUCUGUCAAAGUCUAACUUGGAGGUAGCACGCCAAAAGUAGUCAAUUUUGAACAUUUGGGAGGACUAAUUCUCAUUAAUUAAAUAUUCAUACAUCUACAAAAGGUAGUAUAAUAUUACAAUACAAACACAUGGUGACUUGAUCCGUUGCUCAAAGAAUUGAUGCCCACCAACCAGGUUACUGGUCAUCAAUGCAUAGAAAAGUCCGUAGGCCACACUCGCAUUUCCAUCCUUCAGGCUCAUAAUUUGCAUAUGGUGGUCUUGAGCCAAGCCUGCUCAGCCCUCUAUACUUUCCUUCAUUUUCAUCAUGUACUGGAAGUCCUUCAAUGCCCUCGACAACCUAAAAGACAUACACUUAUUGUAAAAGAUAACCAAAAACUAAUUAAAACCCAGGUAGGGAGAGCCUGAAAUGUACCUGUUUUGGGUCAAAGGUAGCAUCUUGGGGAUGUGGGUUUUGGUCUUGAUCAGCUAUGUAUAGAAACUAAUUAGUAACAUGGUAUAAGAAAAAGCAUAUGGGGUGAAGAAGGAAUUGAAAACUAAAAAUAAAAACCAUGCUCUACAAUUGUACUUCUUCUACAAAUAUAGCUUGUCCAAUAGGAGUGUGAGGGUUUUGUUUGAUUCUAAUCAAGCUGUCUAGAAAGGUUGCAAAAAAAAAAAAAAAUACAUAAAUAAAUAAAAUUACAAUUGGAAAAGAAUAAAGAAAGAGGGAGGCUCUCUGGUGCCACCAGCAAUCACUUCUGCUGUGAUGCAGAAAGAAAUGCUGAAAAUGUGGUACCACGAAAUGUUGCAAAUGUUAUUGGAAUUGUCUGUUUUUUUUUCAAUGUGGUGUUCCAAAGUAGAACCAAAAGUAGAGUCAAAAUGCUCUAAAUGAAAAGCAUCAUAGCCGAAAUGGUUUCUCAUUUCUUGUUUAAACUCAGUAACUUGUUGCAUGAUAUAUAUUAGUGGAAGGCAUAUACUUUCUUUUUUUUGCUGCCUUCAAGUCACCCAGUAUAAAUCAAAGUUAAAAAUGGCCAACCGUCUUUACAUUUGCAGGAGUUAUUGUGAUUCUUAACUAAGAACUAGUGAUUUAUCUUUCUGUUUUCUUACAAUCAACUUGAGCAAUAAUUUAUCAGUUGGUCAACAGUAAACUGAAAGUCAAAUUUAGAAGGCUAUCCAUGGAAAACCACUCAUUCACCUUUGAAGAUUCAAAGUUAUAACAUAUGGUUUAUUUAUACCACUUCCAGUUCUGCAGAGAGGUUGCAGAAGAAAGUGAUGGCCAAGUCUCUCAAAAUGUAUAUUUAUUAUUAUCACUUCUAAUUCAACUUGAAAUUUACAAAUGAAAAAAAGUGUCACUCAUUUAGUUUUCUCAUUAUGUAGAAACUGAUUUUCCCUUAGCCAUUCAUAUGAUCAUUAUACAAAAUGUAUAUACAAGUAUGUAGAGAACAAUAUACAGUUACAACAAGCCAUUAUUAUAAACAUAUAAUAUGGAGUUAUGACCUAACAACAACGUAACUGACAACUGACCAUUUCCUAUCAUUAGUAGGAUUAAAUAUUGUAACUGAAAUACUAUUGUAACUCCCUAAUACUCACCCGCAAAUCGAGCGCGCACAACAUAGCAAGAUUUGAAUGAAGAAACUACAUGGUGAUGGAGAUUAUGGCAGUAGUCAGCUGUAGUAGUCUAGUAAGGAGAACCAAAAAGAAGAACUCCAAUCUCCAGAGUUGCAAGAACAACAUGAGAGAAACAAAGUAAACAUAACGCCCAUUGAAAGGCAGCAAGUGAAGGAGAGCAUGGGCUCAUGGAAGGAAUGAAUAAAAUGACGGGCUGACAUACAAGUCAAAUGUACCUAGGAAACAACUUUAGGCACCUGAGAAACAUAACACUACCUAGGAAUCACCCUCUAGGUAGGAUAAAGAGAAAUAGACAAUGUUGUAAAGAGGAAUGAGAAAGAAAAAUAAUUCAGGCAAGUGCAUUUUUUUAUUUAUAAAUAUAAUAAAGAUGAGGAAUGGAAACAAAAGAAAAUUCAUCACAUGGAAAGCAGAAAGGGAUGCGUGCAGAGAGAAAAGAAGGAAUAUUUGAAGGGAAUAAAGGGGGCUUAAGAAAGGGUGCAGCACAACAGUAGAGUAUAGGAGGUGAAACCAACUUGGGACACAGAGAAAAGAAAACGAGAGCAUGAGCAAGUUUGAAUUUCAAAGCACCAUAGAAACAAUAAGGUAUGGGGAAGAAAACCACAGGGGAACAGAGAAGUAAUAAAGAAAAUAUUAUCACAAGAGGAUAGAGGCCCAUAUAGAUUAAAAUAUAGAGUGAUUGACCCAAAAACCAAUAAUAAGAGAUAAAGGAGGAAACCAAGUGAGACAGAGAAAGUAGUCAAGAGAGGGAGAGAGAACAAGAUGCAAGAGACAAUCCAUGAAAAGGAAAGGAAACUUAAGAUUGCAGAGACAACCCAUGACAGGGAGAGAGAAAACACAAUUGAAAAGAAGAGAAGAGAAUACCCCAGUAACAUAAAAGAAUUAUAAAGAAAAGAAGACAAUACUCGAGUAACAGAGAAGAAGAAAGACAACGCAAGAGAGCAUUGAAGAAGACAGAGACCAAGAGUAAAAACAAAGAAAGAGUGAUGCAGGAUGCAUAUGACCUAAAUUUAUUAGUUUCCUAAUAUAUUUGUUAGUUUCCUGGAUUCUCUAGUUUUUCAAAUUCUAAUAGGAUUUCUACUUUUUUAGAUUUCUAGAUUUCUAGUUUUAAGUUUUCUAUUUUAUUUGGGUUAAGAUUUCUGUUUAAGCAAGGGAUUUUUAUUCUAUUAUGUCUAGGUUUUAGUUUACUAUAAAUACCCCCAUGUAGUUCUUUAAAAUUCAGAUUUGGAUAUUGAGUUUCUUAAAACUAUGUGAUUUUUGUUCUUCCUUCUCGGUUCUCUGAUUUCGGUCCUCUCUUUCGUCCCUUUGAUCUAUAUUUUCGUCUCCUCGACCUCCUAUAUUCUUCUAUGUUCUAUUGUUUAAGUGUUUACUCUAAACCUAUGAGCUGUUCUACAUCAAAGAGAUUGGGCUUAAGAGGGGAGGAGAACACAGGUUGAGCAUAGAUAAAAUGUGAGAGGCCGAUACCAAGGUAGCAACACAAUGAUAGGGCUUGAGUGGCCGAUACCAAGUCAGCAACAUAGAGGAAGAUAUAGGGGCUGUGCAAAGGGAACAUCAGCUGUGUAGCAUGGUAGAGAAGGUUCGGUAAGCGUUGACGAGGCUCACGGAGGAAAGAGAGACGGCUCGAUGAGCGAUGACAGGCAGCAUCAACAAAUAAGGAGAAAGUAUGGAAACCACGAUAGAGAAACCAUCAGAAAUACAUGAGAGAAAGAACCUACAAUUGCAGACCAGGAUAAGGCUAAGCGAGCGUUGACAAGGCUCGCGGAGGUGAGAGAGACAGCGCGAUGGAGACAAAGAAGUGGAGAGAUAUUUCAAGUGGAGAAACCAACGAUAGAGAGGUGUGGUCUCUAAAGGAAAGGAAAAGUUUGUUGCUCGGUUUCAACAGAGAGAAGUGGCCCAACAUUGAUGGAUAACAAGGGGCUAGAGAGCCAAAAGAGGGAUAGGUAGCGGCUGUGUAAGAGAACAACAACGGCAUGAUAGCAUAACAUGAGAGAGAUAAAAGCCGGUGAAGAGAAGACUCAGUGAGCGGUGACGAGGCUCGCGGAGGAAACAUAAAUCUGGUCAUCAUGGCCAAGGGAGAUAAAUGGACCUGCUGUGGGUUGCCACGAGAGAGCUCGAUGGAGGAGACGGAUAACAGGCUAACAGAAGAAAGGGUUGUAGUGGUAGGUGCGGCUACAGCGAAGGUGGAAAGAAAAAACAUAUUCAUCUUUGAGAAGAAGAGAGGAAAAAGCACUAUACAUACAAAUACCCUUAUGGGUGAGGAGUGAGAAGCGCCAAUGACUCUCAAUGUUGGCAACUGGAGGAUCGCUAGUUGGCGUUAACCAUUAGCUCUGAUACCAUAUAUAGAAAUUGAUUUUCCCUUAGACAUUCAUAUGAUCAUUAUACAAAGUAUAUAUACAAGUCUGUAGAGAACAAUCUACAGUUACAGCAAGUCAUUAUUAUAAACAUAAAUAUGGAGUUAUGACCUAAUAACAACUUAACUGACAACUGACCAUUUCCUACCAUUAAUAUGAUUGACUGUUGUAACUGAAAUACAAUUGUAACUCCCUAAUACAUUACCUGAAGGCUGAAGGGGGGAAACCAAUAGAACAGUAUUUCAAAACACAGAAUAUUUCAUAACAGAUUGAUGCCUAGUGACGUAUAAGGCGAACAGGAAGCCCUUUCUCUGGGGUAGGCAUCAUGUCGCCAGUUAUCUUUUCCUUUGGGAACAACACUUCCCAUUUGAACCUCAUCACCACAUUGUGAACAAAAGUGAGAAUUGCAAUCCUUGCAUACUCUUUGCCAGGGCACAUUCUUGGUCCUCCUCCAAAUGGAACAAAUGUGAAAGCUGGGAAUGUACUUAAGUCGUCAUAUCUUGAGGGGUCAAAUUUUUCUGGGUUGGGAAAGUACUCUGGGUUCAUGUUUGUUGUACUAACAGUCCAAUAUACCUGCAAACAAAUGGAAGUAAAAAACUUUAGUUCUAAGCAAAGAAAUUAUUAUUUGACAGAUGUGCAAAAUAAAUUUCACUCUUCAAAACUGUAAAAAUGUAUUAUAUGAGUGUGACAUAUACACCUUCCAGCCCUUUGGGAUGGUGUAACCAGCAUAGGUAAAAUCAGUCAAGGCCUCUCUGAAUGUUCCCUGAAGUGGUGGUGUGAAUCUCAUCACCUCAUACAUUACAUUCCAUGAGUAUUUCAUCUUGUUGAUGUCUUCCCACUCCAAAAAUUCCCCAGGCUUCUUUGAGUAUGCAAUCUCUUUAUGUUCUAGUUUUUCCAAGACAAAUCACAUUUUAGCACAAACAAGAAAUAAACGAAGUUCCAAUGAAGUAUUGAAAAUUAAUUUAGGGAGGUGAAGUUGAGGUGAUUAAUUACCAGCUAGGACUUUGGCAUAAAUGUCGGGCCUCUCUCCAACAUGUUUCAUGAAGAAAGUCAUGGCAGUAGCCACAGUGCUGUAUCCUGCUGUGAGCAAACCCAUGAUCUUGUCAGCAAUCUCAGCCUCAGGCAUGUGUUUGCCAGUUUGGUCAGUAGCCUCAAGCAUAUGUGAUAAUACGUUAUGCAUGGAAGCUCCUGAUGCCAUUGCAGCCUUCUUCUCUGGAAUCACAGUCUUCAACUCCCUUCUAAGUGCAUCGGCUGCUUUGGUUGCUUUGUAGAAUGUUGUUCCUGGGAAAUUCAGAAUAAGUGAAUGCAUCCCAAGAGUCACAUCAUCGAAAUAGCUAACAAACCUUGCAAUUCUUCCUGGCUCAUCUAUGCCCAAGAAGAAUCUGCAGGCAAGGCCUAGAGUGAGGGUCUUGGCCAGAGGGUACACCUUGACCUCAUCUUUGCCUUCCCAAUAGGCCUUCAUCUGUUCUUGGGUGAUAGAGUCCAUUAUCCCCAAGUACCUUACCAAUGCUUCCGGCUUCAAAAACCCCGGUGACCUCAACACUUUGGCUUCUUCGUCAUGAGCAGGUUGUGCUGCUGGAGCCUUAUACGAACGAAACAUCUUUUGCAUUGAAUGUGGUCGAAAAGCUGUGCAAUACUUCUGCUCAUUAGAAAACAGAAAUUUGUGUCCAUUAGGACCACAAAUAACAGCAGUUUUCUCUCCAAGAAUCUUGGUCUUGAAGAUUUCAGGGGAGUACCUCCUCAUCCUCUUGGACACAAAGAUUUCUGGCUUCCCAAACAGAAACUCCAGAGUUUCACCCACAAUAGGCCAACCCAUGCUCCCCGGUGGAAGGUUUUUGCCAUCAUCUGAUUUCCCUUUGACUGCAAAGAUGGUUAGAGCUAAAAAAGCAGCACCUAGAGAUAGGGUAAGGUAAAGGGUCUCCAUGGUUGUUGCUGAUCAAUUAUCAAACUAUAAGCUGAGAUUGAUUGAGACUGAGCAAGCAGUGAGGUUUAGGAAGCUUGGAAAUUUUGAACAUUUAGAAGGACUAGUUUGUCAUAUAUAAUGAUAAAUAAUCCAUAUACGCACCAUUGAUUCAUACAUCUGCAAAGAGAGUUAUGAUAUUUACACUACAAACAUAUGGUCUUGAGUUGGUUUCCCCUCUUUUUUUAUAACUACAAAUGCUGCAAGAUUUUUUUGUAACAAUCUGUUAAGUUGGUUUGGUAGGUCUUGAGUUUUUUCACUUACGAAGAGUUUUACUUUUUACAGAAACAUGAGUUGCUUGCUUACACAAUUGAUGCCCUGCCUUGGCUGGUCUUCUCAUUCACUUGCAUUGCAUGAAACUGCGCACCAACGUAGUCACCGGCCCACUGGUCAUCAAUGUAUAGACAAGACCGCAGGUUUCUCCAAAUUUUAGAACUAGGGGGUGAAGGAGUAAUUUAAAGAAACAAUAAUAAAAAACACAUCUUCUCCACAGUUAUACUUCUAAUGCAGACAUGGGCUUAGCCAAAUUGGCUAGAUCGGAUGUGCUCCUCAGUCUGCAUUCCAGAUCGAACCCCACCACGUAGUUUGAAUUAAAUUAAAGUAGAAUAUUGCUUAUAUUAGUAUUUAAAUAAAAAAAAACUAAUAAGGAGACAAUUACCUAAAAUUAUUGCUAGGUUGCUCUUCAAUGUUUUCUCAUUUAAAGAUAACUACUCAGAGGUUUAUUCGGUCAAACAUUGUUGCUUCCUAAAUCAAACUGUUGCCAUAAGAAAGUAGCCUUGCUCGAGUUUGUUAACAAGUAACAUCAUCAUCAUCCAUCUUCUGCAUUAUUCAUCCAACCGGAUACCUUGAAGAGCUCAAAUCUGAUUGGAAGCUGGUUAGACAACCAGCCAUCCUGUCCUGGGUAACGUGUCCGCCUUCUUGCCACACACAGCUAAGAGCGUUGCACAGUGGACACGAUUGGUUCAGUGUAGGAUUAAUUAGUCGUAGUAUCACAACUUAAUUGCAGUAGUUGUAAGGAUUCAUCAGACUGUCCAAUCUUCCCUUUUCUUUGUCCCUUGUGUAAUGAUAAAAUUUGGAAUGUCAUGUCAUUACCUCAAAACUAAGUUAUAUAACCCCUUCUCAAUUUUGUAUUUUUUUCUGUGAAAUUGAAGACCUGCAGUGGGAAGAGCUACUUCUUUUUUCCUCAAUUUAAUGUAACUCUCACAUUAAUAGCUAGCAACUUCUAAACUUCUAUAGUUGCCAUGGUUGACCUACCAAAGCCUGACUCUCCGUAAAAUAUCAACCACCUGAUAAAUUCUUGUCCAAGUUGGUCGGACGGAGUGUUGCAACUAAUUAUAGAAGGUGUAGAAAAACAAAGAAGACAGCAUAUCCUGGAAACUAAUAACUUUGUUACUUGAAGCCAUGUCCUGAAAACUUUUCUAAAACAAAUAUAGUAUUACAAUAUUCUCCUUUAUAUGAUUUGCCUUGUAAGUUGAUAAAAUUUACAUUAAACGGAUAUACUAUAUAUGAUUACGGUGAUGACGUGCACACCACAUGCAUUAUCAAAUACGUCGCAGAGAGGCCAACCUCUUUUCAAGAUCCUCAACAUCAGGAGAUUCAGAACUGCAUAUAAUUACAAUAGAGUGUUAAAACCGAUUGAAGUUAAUAUAUAAGUUAGAUAGUCCUGAUCUCUUGGACUACAAGGGUCCAAGAGAUUUGUGGUCACUCACCAUUGGAUGUAAAUUCAACGGUUCACUUACUAUUGCACUCCUUUUAAAAAACUUUUUUGAAUCAUUGGAUUAAUAUUCAACGGUGGGUGACCACAAUCUCUUGGACUCCUGUGGUCCAAGAGAUCGGGACUCAUAAGUUAGAACCUAUUGGACACGAAAUAAAUCAUUAUGGCAACAGCUUUUAUACAGCCAUUUAUGGUACCGAUGCUUUUCAGUUAGUGAAUUCAAACUAUUCAGUCCACCACUAAAUUAUUAUGGCAACAGCUUUUAUACAGCCAUUUAUGGUACUGAUGGCAACAAGGAAAUAGCAUUUGUACCUGGUAACAACAUUUUCAGCAUUUCUCGGAGCUACAUUUGCAGCACUCCUCGGAGCUACAUUUGCAGCACUCCUCGGAGCAACAUUUUCAGUAUUUCUUGAUGCAAUUCUGCCCUUUGGAGCUGAAGAUAACUGUAAGGAACAAGAGGAAGAUCACAGAGCAGUUAGUUUAAAACGAGAAAAAGAAAAAACAAUAAUAAAAGCAAAGUCAUGGAAGCUAUCAAUCUCAAGGACGGGUACCUGGGAUGCAAUAUCAACACCAAUCUCAUCAAGAACCUGAAACAUGAAAUAUGCUUAUUCUAGAUUAAUAUGAUAAUGCUGAUACUCCUGUACAAGAAAACAAAACUACAACUACGAUGCCAAUACUCCACCUGGUUAGUAAGCUCCUCAGUUUCCUCCUCAGCCUCAUCUUUGUCCAGGGUUUCAUCAAUAGACUCUGACAUCAUCUCUAUCUGCAUAGAGGAUAAUAUGACAUUAAAUUUUACACAAAUGUGCACUAUAGAACAAAACGUAGGCCAAUUAGGAGACAUCGCUUCUAUCUGCAUAAAGGACAAUCUGAUAAUUACACUACAGAACAAAAUGUGGGCCAAUAAGGGAGGAAGUUGUUCAGUCAGUAGUGUUUGAUUGUCCUGCCCAAAACUGAGUACAACUUUGUCAACUUUUUAAAGCGAUAAAGGGUUUCAGUUUCAGAUCUCUCGCAUAUAUGUAUUUGAUCUAGUAAACCACAUUUGAUGAGUGUAAUUUCCCUUAGACAUACAUGGUUGAUUAAUGUUGUGUGUUUCGUUUGAUAAAAAUCAGAAUUGCAAUAACCAAGAAUAAUUCCAGAAAUCCAAUUCAUCUCUCACAUGUAUGUACUGAUCUAGUAAACCACAUUGGGCGAGUGUAAUUUCCUUUGGACAAGGUUGGUUCAUGCUGUGUUUUCAUUUGAUCAAACCUAGCAUUGGAAUAACCAAUAAACUAUUCCAGGAAAACAUUAGUAAUACCGUCAUGUCCAUUUGAGCCGCCUGCUUCUGGAAUUCCCUGAUCACUUUAACUUGUUUUGCAGGUUCCAUUUGCUGAAAUGAAAAAAAAAAUGAUAAUAAUACUUUAUUAAUCUGAAAAGAAAAAAUAUUGGGCUAAAACAAUUAGAAACCUUGUGGUUGAAUUACAAUGAACUGUUUGACUCAUAAUAUUUCUCAAACCAUGCAUUGUCAGAGAUGGACGAGUAAUCAAAUAUGAUGGAAAUCUACAUAGUAAUAAAUAGUAAUGCUGCAAAUUUGUAUCAAAACUGCCUCUUGAAAUGCAUACCUUGUUCAUUGCCACCAUUGCUUUAGUUGCACCUUUCAUGCCUGUGGAAAUAGAAGUGCUUGCGUAUAAUGCCUGCAAACAUAUUAAAAGUAAAUCAACACCCAGAAAGUUUCUGGGCACAUGAUUUAUAUAUCAAAAUCUUUCAACCAAAUUUAAAGCAUAAAAUGGUGACCUGUGUAUGGGUAGCUACACCUCUUAUUUGGGCACGACUUCCUUGCAAGUUAGUAAUUUGUUGGCGUAGCCUAACGAGUUGACGAGCCAGGAUUUUGGUGGCAGCCUGGAUAAGACAUAUAAGGCAUGAUUGACAGGGUUUGGUCAUACUUGUACAUAUUAUCCAUCUACAUAUACAAAAAUUUCAUCCUGCAUAAAUAAUUUCUAUAUAUGGAGUUUGCAGAUAUGCGGUCUCUGUUUGUAUAAAGGAGCAUCAUCUUAUAGUUUGUUAAAUUUCAAAAACAUUGCAAAACAAGUCAUAUCAGUUUGGUAACCUAUCAGUAAUGGGGCAAAUUUAUGUAGGUUAUUUUUCUCCUAUAUUUCAUAAUAUCUGAAGUAGCAUUCACUUGGCACUUACGAUUGCUGGAGCCCUUCUUUUAUGUUUUCUUUGUUAUGUGUUCUUUCAUUCAUUUACAGUUGAUGAAAGACUAUAUAUAGUUUCAGAUGGUUCCUCCUGCAUCAAUCUACAUUCAUUUCUGAAUCAGUUAGCUAUUCCUGUGGUGCAGUAACCAGCUUGCAUCAUUCCUAGACUGCUAAUAAUUGGAAUGUAAAACAUGGCACCAAAGAAUGAACAGUUUCAUUUUCCCCAAGAGUAACAAUUAAGUGGUUGAAAUAACAACUAUUACGAGGAGAGAACAACUUAAACAGAAUAGUAAGCUUGCCUCAUUUCCAGUUUUAGCCGUUUUCUUGAUCUCCGCCACCAAUUUCUUUUCCUGAAAUGCAGAAACACUAAAGACACUGAGGGAAGAAUCUGGAAAAUGAAUCAAUCAGAAGAUUUAGGGUAACUGUAGCAUAUACCUCCAAUUGAAGAGAUGCGAUCUCACGUUCAAUACCUGUAAAAGAAAAAGGGGAGUGGGAGAGAAAAAGAAAAGUUAAAGCACCAAGUAUUGUAGUUGCAAUUUGAUGCCUCCAACCAAAGAGUUGCAAUAUAAUUUUAGCUGAAAUACGCAGACCAAGUGUGGAACUUUUUGAUUGACAAAAUUGUUAAGUAUAGCAACCCAUAAGAAAGCAUGAAAACUAAGACAAUUGAUAGCAUAUUUUUUUCCUUUUUAUUCAAUUUUCAAAGGUAAAGAAGAUAAGAAAUGCCUAAAGCAAAGAACCAUAAGCAAAAAACAAGCAGAAUACAAAUAUGCACAUCUCUAGUAGGGAUCAGCCAUUUUGAAGCAUAUUCAAACAAGAUAAACAGAAGAUCUUCUUUCAAAAUUUCAUCCUGACGCUCUAGAGCAUACACAUACCUCUGGUAGCAACACUCAUUUCUCUUUUGCUUGUCCUCAGAGCCUCUGUUCAAUUAGACAACCAACUUGUCAAAGUCAUUCACAACUUUUGUCAACAAAAAGAAAAGCUGAAAAAACUAGACAAUCCACACAAUCAAGUCUGAGAAUAAAAAAUAUAAACCCCCAAACAUUUGGUGGUUCGGUAAACCAACUUAAAAUUCUGAAAAUAGUAAUGAACAAAAGUAAGAGUUAAAUGAACUCUAAAAGUAGAUGUAUAGGCUCAUCCAAGUAAACCCUGAACAAUGAAAAACCUAUUUCCAGUUCAACAAUUCCUCAACCACCAAACACAGUUAAAAUGGAAAACCCCUAAUGGGGAAGAAAAAAUGAAACCCUAGAGAGAGAAAGAGAGAGAGAGAGAUAGACGGAAAAGAUGAAACCUUUGGGGGAGGUCUUCUUCUUGAAGAUGUUCAUGGUGACCACUGAAGUUGAGAACUUGAGAGCAGAGAGAGUUAGACACCAAAGUCCAAACCAGUGGGGCAAAAUCUUCUGAAUCUUGUUUAUAGGAGAGCGUGCAGUUUGUUCCCGGCUCCCUCGUAGCAUAAUCCAACGGCAAUUUUCCAACUAGCCGUUACAAUUCGUUUUGACUGUUUUGCCCUUCCUCAUGGUGAUUCACUUUUGCACCGAGCUACACAUAUUUUAUGUCUUUUCCUUUUGGUCAAUACACAUAUUUUAUAUCUACUAGAUUCAGCUCCAAUGUUCAUUAUUAAUGUUUUUUGCUUAGGAAUGUUCCACUACUUGCCAUUAUGAUAUUCAGGACCAAAAAAAAUCAUGACAUUACUAUAUUGGAUACAAUAACGAUCGAUAAUCUUAUGAUAUUAGAUAUGCCAAUACUUAUUCUCAUCAUAUCAAAACUAAUUUUUAAAGAUAUCCAUAGUUGUAUUUCCAAAUCGGCAUUAAUUAUAAUUAUUUUGUGAUAUUCUCUUUAUUUUUGUAAUUAUUUCAAAAAAAUUUAUUAAUUUUGAUACGGUUUCUCUUAAUAUCAAUACGAGAUUAUCAUAUAAUUGAUAAUACUUUUACUCAAAAUUUAUCAUGUGUGUUUUUUUAAAAACAGAUGUAGGAGUCAAAAGUUAAACCCAUCUGGGCAAAUCCGUCCCAAAGGGUGUUGAGUUGGAUGCAAGACUUUUCGAGGGCCUCCCUCGAAGAAUUUUGUUGACUGUUUCCUCUUCUGGUGAUGGGCUUUGCUUAUCCUAUCCUAUAUGGCAUGUUUUGGGCUUGUUUUAGAGAAACUCCAUUUGGAAUGAGAGAUUUCAGAAAAGAAAAUAUAAAAAAAGGAUUGACAUUUCUUACAAAAACUACAAAAAAAAUCUAAUAGACCAAGAGGCUAAGGUAAGGUAAGGCAAAGGCUGCGACUAUUUACGUUAAUAGUGACAGCUUUGUUUUUUUUUUUUUGGUUCCACUUCAAAAGGUUAGGGCAAGGACAAAUACUAUUUAUUGUACUUUAUUUCCUUUUUUUUUUUAAUAACUUUGAACCAUUAAUUUUUAUAAGCUUUUAUAUAAUAUUUUCGAUUGCCACGUGUCACUAUUUAUUAUAAAAUUAUCACCUAAAAUUUCAAAUAAAAUUUUCGGAUAAAAUUUUUGAAUUAAAUUUUCGGAUAAGAUUUUUUGUUGCCAUAUGUCCAUCAUUUUUCAAAAAAGAUUUUCAUAUGAGAUUCUCGGUUGCCACGUGUCUUAUUUCAGAUAAAAUUUUUGUAUAUUUAUUUAAAAAAAUUAUAAUCUCAGAUUUCAGAUAAGAUUUUCACCCUCUAAAAUUGCGCAACGUGUCCCAUAUUAGAUAAGAUUUUCAGAUAUUUAUAAAAAAAAUUAUAAUCUCAUAUUUCAGAUAAAAUUUUCACCCUCUAAAAUUGCGACACGUGUCCCAUGUUAGAUAAGAUUUUCAUAUAUUUUUAAAAAAUUAUAAUAUCAUAUUUCAGUUAAGAUUUUCACCCUCUAAAAUUGCGCCACGUGUCAUCUCUAUCUUUUGAAUCCCUCUAUAAAACUACACCAUCAACUCAUACCUCUCACACCAUAUCUUAUCUAUUCAUUCAUUUCUCAGAUUUUACAAAACACAUUCUACUCUCAAUGUCAAACUUGAGGAGGGUGUUGGAGAGGCAAGAGCGAGAAGAUGAAGAAAUCCGGCUCAGACGUGCUGAGGAAGAUUGGGAGGCCGAUGAAGAAGAGGAAGAAAUGCUUGUAGCGAUGUGUAUGCUUAAUGAAUCAAGGCAACACCACCGUCGUCGUGCCCCGAAUGUGGACAGACGUAAGGAGUCUCGGGGUAAGAAUCUCUUGGAAGAUUACUUUAUCCCAAAUUCGUUAUAUCUUGUUUCUAAGUUUCUAGAGAGAUAUAGAAUGCAGCCACAUUUGUUCCAAAAAAUCAUGCAUGAUAUUUGUAAUUACGACACAUACUUCAUUCAAAAGUACAAUGCUGUUGGAGUUUUGGGUCUUCUCCCGGAGCAAAAACUUACAGCUGUUUUGUGGAUGCUCGCCUAUGGGGCAUCUGCAGAAUAGGUGGAUGAGAUUGCAAGGAUGAGAAAGUCAACCAUCCUAGAGUGCUUGGUGAGAUUCUGUGAUGCAGUAGAAAAUCUCUACACGAGGGAGUACCUUCGCAAACCUACGCCUAGGGACCUCCAAAGGCUUCUACAAAAAGCUGAGGCUCGAGGUUUCCCAGGAAUGAUUGGAAGCAUCGAUUGCAUGCACUGGUAGUGGAAGAAUUGCCCAACUGCUUGGCAAGGAGAUUAUGGGAAUCGAAAGGGCCAAAAAGUUAUAAUUCUAGAGGCUGUAGCUUCAUUUGACACUUGGGUUUGUCAUGCCUUCUUCGGAGUUGCGGGAUCUCAAAAUGACUUCAAUGUGCUUGGUCAAUCCCCGGUGUUCAACGAUGUAUUGCAAGGUCAUUCCCCCCAGAUUACGUACCAAAUCAACAAUACCGUAUACUCUAGUGCAUACUACCUUGUCGACAGAAUUUAUCCUAGGUGGACAACAUUCGUGAAAACAAUUCCGAAUCCCCAAUUCGAGAAGGAAAAAAGCUUUGCUGCCUUUCAAGAAGGUUACAGGAAAGACGUGAAAAGGUGUUUCGAUAUCUUGUAAGCUCGUCGGGGUAUUAUUAGGGGUGCUGCUUGGAUGUUUGAUGAGAAGGUGCUGCGAAGCAUUAUGAUAACUUGCAUCAUCCUCCAUAACAUGAUUGUGGAGAAUGAUUAUGAUUAUGAUGCUCCAGAUGUGUUCGAACCGGAUCCCAUAGAAUUUAUGAAAGGCCGAUUGGACCAAAUGGACAUCCAUUGGAGCACGAACCAUUACUUCGAGAUGGUCAAUUCAACAACCCCAUGAUUGAUCAUUACCGGAAAAUGCAAUCUUCGUAUGUUCACGAGAGGCGUCAAGUUGACUUGAUCGAGCACUUGUGGGAGAUGAAAGGCAAUCAUAAUGGAUGAAGUCAAGAUUAAUGCUUUGUUUUCAAGUUUGCUUUAUUUUGUGUGUGGUGUGUUUGGAAUUAUGUUUUGUUUUUAAUUAUGUUUUAUUUUGUGCGUGGUGUGUUUGGAAUUAUGCUUUGUUUUUAAUUAGGCUUUGUUUUGUGUGUUGUUUGCAAUAAAAUAAGGUUUGUUUUUAAUUAAACUUUGUUUUCAUGUGCAAAUAUUUUUAAUAAAUAGUCAUAUUAUUUAUGUAUGAAGAUUUUGUAUGUAGAAAAAUGUGAGUGGAAUGGAAAAAAUAUUGGAAGGAGAAGAGUUUGUAUGAAGAUUUGGUGUGGAAAGUGAAUAAAAUUGAUAGGUAUUUAUAAGGAAAAAUCUAGUAUUUUUUGGUAUUUUUUUGGCCCAAAAAAGGAGGGCCGUCGGAUUUCUGAAAUAUAUAUAUAUAUAAAAAUCAUCGUAGCGCCCAGGAAGCGCCACGUGACAUUUUUCCGUUGGGUUCUGUCAGCGCUGACAUCAGCCCUUGAAAGUCAAAUUUUUUUUACUGUUGGCGCAUGAUUUUCAAGCGCCAACGAUAAAAAAAAUUUGGAUUUACGCUCGUUGACGUCAGCGCCUUCGGGCUUCAGCCCAUGCAGAAUUUGUCAGUGGGCUUGCCCGGGUUGGUGGGACCCAUGGCUUGCCUAGACUCCUAGUCACGCGUUGGAGGGCUUCUGGGCUCACAAGGGGGGCCUUUUGCCUAGUUUGAGUCCAGCGGUGGACUUGCUCUAACUAGAGCGUCGGCAAAGGUUUUUUCUUGUUUAAAUUUCCAAGUGAUUAUGAUAAUACGAGGGUAGGCGAGUUCUAAACCCAUUUGCUAGUAUGCUAAACUUUUAUCGUGGCCUUAAUUUGUGCUAGGGCACUUAGGACUCAAUUAGGCUUGGAUACUCAUGUAACUCGACCUAGGACUUUGUGAUUAAGGUUUCAAUCUCAAUCUUGGGUUUGUACGACAUAAUCAGACAUAACCUUGACCUGUCUCGAUGAAUUUUCGUCAGGAUAGAAAUAUCUCGGUGAAUUUUGUAGAGAUAGACCUACUCCAGCGAACUUUUUCUAUCCCGAUGAACUUUGACGUUAUAGUCCUAUUCUGGCGAAUAUGUGUUGCAAUCUUUCCCUCCAAAAUUUUAUCGGGAUUCCAACAACAAACCACUUGUUAAAAUUUACCUCAAGGCGCACUAAACUAACUAGGAUAUGUCCGGUUACGUCGUACUAACCCUAUAUUAAGAUUGAACCCCAAGGUCCAGUUACAUGAAUAUCCAAGCCUAAUCGAGCAAUAAGUGCCCUAGAGUAGGUUUAUGAUUAGGGUUCAAGGCUUGAUAACAAUUUUGGAACAAGUUCGGAAGCUAGGGUUUUUGGUUUGAGAUUUGGAGGCAAAAAUCCAAUUUUUGGAAUACUAAAAAUUUAUCUAAACGUCUUCUACAAGGAUGCAAGUCAAUGCUUGUGGUUUUACAAGUCAAUGGUUAUUUGACUAGAGAACAUUAACCAAGGCGUUCUACAAGUUUGCAAGCAUUUAUCCUUAUCAUUACUUUAACCUGCAAAGAACGUGAAAAAAAGACAAGACUUCUCCAUCACGUGGUGGGAAGAACCUAGACCUUGACCUCUAUCCAUGACGUUCUUAUUCAUUGUCUGAUCCUUAUUAUUGAAAAUUCAAAAUCGCUGGAUUUGCAUCCGAAAAGAAAAUUAGCAUUCCGAACUUGAAAAGAAAAUUAGCAUUGACCUUCACAAGUGAGCCUUCCAAAUUUCCAAAACGUGUAUUGCAAGAAAUAGAAAAAAGUUGGCUUCUGGGAAAUUCAUUGGUUGUCACAUUCAACUAUUUACUGCAGAAAAUAAAAAGCCAUCCCCUUCUUUUUCUUUGUAUGGAGUAUGUAUAUGGACCACAUUAUUUAUAUAUUUUUAAAUAAAAAAUUUCUAAUGAAAUAGAGUUUUUACAGUGAAUCCAAUUGGUUGCAGCUUCUGUUGUAGAUUUUGGAUACUUCUUGGCAAAACACAAAAAAAAGAGGACAAAAAACAGUAGUCUCUGUACAAUUGAAUAGACUACUGUAUAAUUGAAUUAACACAAGCACUUCUCUCUUUUCAUUUUCAGCAACAUCAAGGAUUCAAGGAUAUAAAAAGUUCACAGUUUUGGUGUUUUCCCGCAAGCAAUUCCAAUUCUUGAAAAUUCAAAAUCGCUAGACUUGUAUCUACAAUACUUUAGCAUGCAUUUGACAUGAUACUACUCAUUAGAAUACAUUGUAAGGAGUCGGGAUCGCAUGAUACAACACAUUGGACUCUUUUAUUACUAUUAAGAUGCAUCAACGGAUCAUAGUCACUAAUCGCACAUGAGUGUUGAAUCUAGCAUAUUAACAACGGAUCAUAGUCACUAAUCACACCCUAAGAAGCAUUGUUGGGACCAACAUGAGUCAUUCUUGGUAGUCCUUCGCACAACACACUCCCUCUAAUCAAAUUAAAUUCACCAAAUUUUGACAAAAAAUACCUAAAAUCUACGGGUCUGUUUGGUAUCCUACUUGGAUCCAAUUUUAUAAAUUGAAAAAUAGAUUCAAGUCCAAAACUCCAAAACCCGUNNNNNNNNNNNNNNNNNNNNNNNNNNNNNNNNNNNNNNNNNNNNNNNNNNNNNNNNNNNNNNNNNNNNNNNNNNNNNNNNNNNNNNNNNNNNNNNNNNNNUGGGGGGGGGGGGGGGGGGGGCAUAUAUUCACAAACAGAUACGAAUUACAAUACAAGAUUGGAAAGUGCAUUACAAAAGUCCUCUCAGGCCUCACAGAAAGGAGGAAAACCCAAGCACAGGAACAGAGAAAAUGAAGAUGAAAAGAAGCAGACCAAACAAACCAAAACCAAUAUAUCAUCUUCCACUCUUCUUCUUCUUCUUCUUCUUCUUCUUGUCUGCUGUCUUUCACUGUGGUUUAGUUUCAUCAUCAAAUACCAAGGGAACAAAAGAAGCUGCAGUUGCUGGGUUUGGAUACAAAAUUCAGUCAGUCAACUAUGAAUCUUCUGGGAACUCAUUGACUGCUAAUCUUGGCCUCAUCAAGAAAUCCUCCCUCUACGGACCUGACAUCCCAAAUCUCAACCUUCACGCCAGGUAUUUCGUAAUUAACCAUUCCCAAUUUAUUAAUCUUAGAUUAGUUUAUAAUCUCUCGUUUUCAUUUUUUUUAAAUUCUCAUUAGGGUAUUGCAUAACAUCCCAACCGUCCAUAAUAUAGAAUAUAUAGCUAAGACCCUUAUUGACCAAAAACCCAAUUAGCAUUUCACUCCACAAUAUUAAAUGGAGACAAGUUUUUCACAAAUUUAUGCUAGAAAUCUAAUUGGCCCCCUUGUGCUGCUAAUCAUGCAUGCAGCUGUGAAACCAAAGAUCGGCUAAGAAUUCGAAUAACAGACUCAAAGCACCAAAGAUGGGAAAUCCCACAACAAAUAAUUCCCCGCCAAACAACUUCACAGCAUCCACAACAAUGUCAAACCCACAACAAACACCUCGUGAUCUCCAACGACCUUGUCUUCACUCUCCACAACACCACCCCAUUCGGCUUCACGGUCACCCGCCAAUCCUCCAACGACGUCAUUUUCGACGCCUCCCCAAACCCAUCAAACCCCGACACCUUCUUGGUCUUCAAGGACCAAUACAUCCAGCUCUCCUCCUCCCUCCCCGAAGCCAGGUCCUCCCUUUUUGGCCUCGGCGAGCACACUGUUGAUUAUUGCCUCAAACCAAUAGUCAACAAUAUCGGCAAAUUGACAAGUUGCAAUGUGAAUGCAUUAAUUGGCUUUUACAAUAGUCAAAAGUGAUGACUAUUGACAAGUUGCAAUGGGAAUGCAUUAAUUAGCUUUCACAAAUAGUGGUAGGCUAUUGUUGACUUGCCUAACCUUUGGCUUCUUUGAGAAGCCACUUUCUUUGGCUAUAAAUUGGAAGCAAAUGGUUUCAUUUGUAGAACCCAACCAAGUGUUGAGUAGAAGAGAAAAAUAGCAAGAAAGGCAUUUUGCCAAAGAGAGAAACAAAUUCUCUCUAGUUGUUCUUUGCUUUGUAUCAUUGUUUUCUCUUCCUUUGUGAGUGAAGGAGGUUGGGUGUAUUUGGGUCUUUGGGAAAUUGAGUGGUAAACACUAUUGUAUAUCCCCAUUGAUUAUAGUGGAAUACUCCGUCGUCUCCAAACUGGAUGUAGGAAAUUGCCGAACCAGUAUAAAUCUUGGUGUUCUUCUUGUUGUAAUUUUCUGUUCAAUUUUUUUUUUCUCCUGCCAGUAGUUGUUUAUUUUUCACUCACAGUUGGUUGACGCUUCCGCACAACAAGUGGGUGAAAAAUAAACAACUACUGGCAGGAGGAAAAAAAAUUUGAAUAAUUGAACAGAAAAUUACAACAAGAAGAACACCAAGAUUUAUACUGGUUCGGCAAUUGCCUACAUCCAGUUUGGAGACGACGGAGUAAUCCACUAUAAUCAAUGGGGAUAUACAAUAGUGUUUACCACUCAAUUUCCCAAAGACCCAAAUACACCCAACCUCCUUCACUCACAAAGGAAGAGAAAACAAUGAUACAAAGCAAAGAACAACUAGAGAGAAUUUGUUUCUCUCUUUGGCAAAAUGCCUUUCUUGCUAUUUUCCUCUUCUACUCAACACUUGGUUGGGUUCUACAAAUGAAACCAUUUGCUUCCAAUUUAUAGCCAAAGGAAGUGGCUUCUCAAAGAAGCCAAAGGUUAGGCAAGUCAACAAUAGCCUACCACCAUUUGUGAAAGCUAAUUAAUGCAUUCUCAUUGCAACUUGUCAAUAGCCAUCACUUUUGACUAUUGUAAAAGCCAAUUAAUGCAUUCACAUUGCAACUUGCAACUUGUCAAUAGCCAUCACUUUUGACUAUUGUAAAAGCCAAUUAAUGCAUUCACAUUGCAACUUGUCAAUUUGCCGAUAUUGUUGACUAUUGGUUUGAGGCAAUAAUCAACACACACCAAGUCCUCCUUCAAGCUCACCCCCAACCAGACCUUGACACUCUGGAACGCUGACACUGCCAGCGCCAAUGCUGACAUCAACCUCUACGGGUCCCACCCCUUCUACCUGGACGUCAGGUCAGCUUCUCCAGAUGGCAAGGCCAACGGCGCCGGAACAUCUCAUGGAGUGUUGCUGCUGAAUAGCAAUGGCAUGGACAUAACAUACGGCGGUGAUAGAAUUACUUAUAAGGCCAUUGGUGGAAUUGUGGAUUUGUAUUUCUUUUCUGGGCCAACACCGGAGUUGGUGGUGGAGCAGUAUACAGAGCUCAUUGGUCGCCCUACCCCUAUGCCCUAUUGGUCUUUUGGUAAGUUUGUUUGCACUCAAAUUCCAUUUUUCUUAGGUAGGUACUAUAUAUUAUCACAUUUCUCGAAUCGCAUUUCACAUGUGACAUCAAUUAUUAUGACUGAAGAGUAUAUGUCAUUUGUACGAUCUCAACUAAUCAUGUUUUUGUAUCGGCACUUACUAGUAGACAGGCGCUAUGUCACAUGACCAGUUGAAAUAGCACUUAUUAGUAGACAGGCGCUAUGUCACAUGACCAGUUGAAAUGGUACAAAGAGUUUUGUUCUUCGAUUGAAAUGUGCAUAAAUGUCCUUGUUUGAUAUUAGCAUGGUCCAAAAAUGUCCUUCCUACUAGCAUAGCUUGCAAUUUUCAUCUUAUUUUGGAAUCAUUGACUUUGUUCACUUAUUCUCUGUUGAAGGAUUCCACCAGUGUCGAUGGGGUUACAAGAAUGUUUCCGAUCUUGAGGGUGUGGUUGCUGGCUAUGAAAAAGCCGCUAUCCCUCUUGAAGUUAUGUGGACAGACAUUGAUUACAUGGAUGCAUACAAGGAUUUUACUCUUGAUCCCAUCAACUUCCCAUUGGAUAAGAUGAAGAAAUUUGUCAACACCCUUCACCAAAAUGAUCAGAAAUAUGUGCUCAUCUUGGACCCUGGUAUGUUCUCUCUGCAGCAAAAUUGAUGUUACAUGCAGUUUGUCUGAUGAGGCAGAAAAUGAUAGUACAAUGACUCUCACAGGUAUCAGUGUGAAUGAGAGCUAUGGAACCUACAACAGAGGGCUGAAAGCAGAUAUAUUUAUAAAACGUGACGGAAUUCCUUACCUGGGAAGUGUUUGGCCUGGCCCUGUCUAUUUCCCUGACUUUGCACAUCCACAAAGUGAAAAAAUUUGGGCUAAUGAGAUAAAAAUAUUUCAAGAUGCUCUGCCUUUCGAUGGUCUUUGGCUUGAUAUGAAUGAGCUAUCCAAUUUCAUCACGUCGCCUGCCACUCCAUCUUCUACACUUGAUGACCCUCCUUACAAGAUUAACAAUGCCGGGGUCCUGCGUCCCAUCAAUAACAGUACUGUUCCGGCAUCAGCGCUACACUUUGGUAACAUCACAGAAUAUGAUGCUCAUAACUUAUAUGGACUCUUGGAAACCAAAGCAACAAACAAGGCCUUAGUCAAUGUGACUGGUAAAAGACCAUUUAUACUUUCUAGAUCAACUUUUGUAAGCUCUGGUACGUACACAGCACACUGGACUGGAGACAAUGCUGCAAAAUGGAGUGAUCUGGCAUACACAAUUCCAGCAAUUCUGAAUUUUGGCCUCUUCGGAGUUCCGAUGGUUGGAGCUGAUAUAUGUGGAUUCUCUGGAAAUACUACUGAAGAGCUCUGCAGGCGGUGGAUUCAGGUAACUUAUGAGCCUUCAAAUUGAACACUUCCACAAAAACUAGACCACAUUAUACAUCUUGUUUCACCUAGAACUUUGCUAUGCUGUCAAUUAUAAUCAUCAGAACAUGUGCAACUAACUUAACUAUGCUAUGUCUCUAUGUAGCUAGGGGCCUUUUACCCUUUUGCAAGAGAUCACUCAGAGAAGUUUACAAUCCGUCAAGAGCUCUAUCUUUGGGACUCGGUGGCUGCAACUGCAAGGAAGGUGCUUGGCCUGCGCUAUCGGUUGCUCCCCUUGUUUUACACAUCAAUGUAUGAGGCACAUAAAAAGGGCACCCCCAUUGCAAGACCCCUUUUCUUCUCAUUUCCUCAAGAUAUCAGAACUUAUGAGAUCAACACUCAGUUUCUGAUUGGCAGAGGUGUAAUGGUGUCACCUGUGUUGAAGCCAGGAGUAAGUUCAGUUGAUGCAUAUUUUCCUGCAGGAAACUGGUUUAAUCUCUUCAACUACUCAAACUCAGUAAGCGUAAAAUCGGGAGAGCACGUUACACUGGAAGCACCACCUGAUCAUAUCAACGUACAUGUCUGCGAAGGAAACAUUUUGGCCUUACAAGGAAAGGCCUUGACAACAGAAGCAGCCCGAAAGACUGCGUUCGAACUUUUGGUUGUUAGCAGCAGUGGACAGAGCACCGGAGAAGUUUUCUUGGAUGAUGGAGAGGAAGUGGAAAUGGGAGGAGAGGGAGGCAAGUGGAGUUUAGUGAGAUUUUACGGUGGAAAAAAAAAUGGAAGUGUAUCUGUAAGAUCAACGGUUGUCAAUGGAGGAUUUGCUUUAAGCCAAAAAUGGAUCAUUGAUAAAGUUACCAUCAUUGGAUUGGAAAAGGUUGAUGGAUUGGAAGGGUAUGCAUUGAACAUUACUAAGGGAGCAAACUUGAAGCGGGGACACUCAGAUAUCAGGGCCAGCUUUGACAGCAAUAAGCGAUUCAUCACAGUAGAGAUUUCCAAAUUAUCCAUUCUUAUAGGAGCAGAUUUUAACUUGGAGCUGAAGUAUUGAUACUAGUGAAAAUUAACACUCUUCUAGAGAGAACAAUAAGUUACAUGCCAUUCAGAUUUAUGGCUCCCCUGGAAGACAUGUUCUAUGCAUCACCUGUAAUGCAUCACCUGUAAUGAAAACCAUUGGCCGCUAAGCAAGCCUUUUAACGCUGAAUAGAGCCAUCGGAAUUCCUCUUGAUACGAAAAACCCACUUGUUCGGCAGCACAUUCACAGUGGGAGUAUGAGGGACCAAAUUCUAAGUUCCUGCACGAAGAAGAGCAUUAAACUCAUCUACCAUAGCAAGACGCCAUUCAUGAUGCUUAUUAGCAUGUGAAAAAGAGGUAGGCUCAAAAGUACCAUCAGUAGAAGAUAAAACCAACGCAUGAUUAGCAUAUUUAGGAUUGGGUUUACAGAUACCGGUUUGAGCACGAGUAACCAUCAAAUAAGCAUGGGAGUCACUUACCAGAAACGUAUCAGAAAUAGAAGGAGAAGAUGUACUAGAUGAAAUAGGAGCAGGAGGCAAGAAGAAAAUUUUGUGGUUGGGGUUCUCAGUGUAGGUUUGAGAGAAUUGAGAAGCUGAAGGCACAUGGGGACUAACCAGCAUGUGAGAAGGACAUGAGGGAUCAGAGGGCAUGGUGGGGGAAGUGGGGUAGGAGCAGGUGCUGCAUAGGUGAUGGCAGAGAUGGACGGGACGUGGCUGGAAGCACAAGUUUCUGUGGAGGCGGGAGGGUCAGGUGCUGGAGAAGGGGACUAGGUAGAGGCUGCAACACUGGAAAGCGUGGGUUGUAGGAAGACAAACUUGGGCCAGAGAGGAUGAUAGGCCUGGCUGACGACGGAGAAUGGUCUGGAGCAAGAGCAGCAUGAGCCUUGUUAAACUGGAAAGAAAAUUCUUUAAAUAACACAUGACGCAAUAAAUAAAUAAAAAACCACAAUUAGAAACAAGAUCCAAGCAUCAAUAACCCUGAUGGUUCAAAGAAUAAGGAAAACAAGGAAAACAUGCGCACCCAAAAGUUUUUAAAUACGAAUAAUCAGGUUCUUUGUGAAACAAUAAUUUAUAGGGUGAUUUGUGCUGAAGCAACUUAGAAGGAAGACGGUUAAUUAAAUAAACAGAGGCGUGCAUAGCCUCGGCCCAAUAGGAAAGAGGCAUAGGGGCAUGGGCUAAAAGAGUGAGCCCGGUGUCAACAAUGUGACGAUGCUUACGUUCGGCUAAACCAUUUUGCUUAGGAUGUUAUGGACAAGAAAGACGAUAAUGAAUGCCAUGAUGAGAUAAAAAGUCCAUAAAAUUGAUGACUAGUGUAUUCCCCACCCCCAUCUGAUUGAAAUGCCUUAAUUGUAGUGGAAUACAGAUUUUCAACUGAAGCCUUAAAUUUAAUGAAGUGAGAGAAAACUUCUAACUUCUAAUUUCAAUUUCAUUGGAAAAAUCCAAGAAUAAUGAGAAAAAUCAUCAACAAAUAAAACAUAAUAAUUAAAACCAGAAAUAGAUUUAUCUGAAGAACUCCAUACAUCAGAAUGAAUAAGUUCCAGCAGAGAAGAAGAGACAGAAAAAGGACUAAAAGGUAAUUUAACACAUGUACCCAACAUACAUGAUUGACAAAAAGAACUAGACCGAGAGCCAAAAAAUGGUAGUUUAUUAUGAGAUAACAACAAUUGCAAAGUAGACGAAGCAGGAUGACCAAGGCGAGAAUGCCACAAGGAGCAGUCAACACAGACACCUAAUAAAGCAACACGAUUAGGCAAAACUUGAAAAGACUCAUUCGGUGUAAAUGAAAAAGGAUAUAGGCCAUUGCUAUUCUUGCUCGAGAAAAGUGUCUUCCCCGUUGCCAAAUCCUGGAUAAAAUAACAAUGAGGAAAAAAAAUGAAGAAACAAUGGUUGUCAAUAGAAAAUUUAUGAACAUAUAAGAUAGGAAGAGAGGCAACGGGACAGUGGAGAACAUCAUUAAGAUGAAAAGAAGAAUUAAGGUGAGAGAAACGAGAGUGAGCAAUAUUUUUAAUAGGCAAUCUUGUUCCACCAAGUACACAUCCAACAUUGUCAGAACCAUGAUACUAUCUAGUAAGGGAUAAGUGGCUCAAGUAGGUAAUAUGAGUAUUCGCAUCGGUAUCAGCAACCCACUGUUGAUGGCCACCAUGCAAAGGAUAUUGAGUUCUCAUGCCUUGAAGACGAAACGGAGAAAGAGGUACAGAAGACGCCUUGGAGGGAUAGACAGCUGCGAUGUGGGCAAAACUAUGACAAUUGAAACAUUGAAAAGGCUCACAGCCAGAAGAAGGCCCAAAAAAGGAAGCAGUAGAGCCAGAAAGAGGUUGGCCAAGAACACCAGGCCAAAAAGUACUGCCAAAAUGUUGUUUAUGUGAGGCAAGACAAGAGGUGCCAUAGGAAGCGCCAAAGGAACCACGACCAGAAGAAAAACCAGGUCGUAAGGGAGAGAAUGAGCUGUAACGAUCCGAACCACAACCAGAAAAUCCACCGUGAUGGCCAAAACCGUGACAACCAAGGGAAGCUACCAGAGCCGUCGCACCAGAAGAGAUGAUUGGAGAAGAAGAGGAUUGCAGGCGACGUUCCGCAGGCAAGAGGAGAGCCUCAAGAUCAGGCAUACUGAUGGAUUUCUCACGAGCUUGAGCAGUGGCAAAGGUAUUUUCAUAAAGAGGACCAAUGUUGUUCAUAACCACAACAAGAAGAUCAAAGUCAGCAACUGAAGCACCUGCGAGAGCCAAGUUAUCGGCAAUCGAGGUAAUACGAUCAAGGAAAUCAAUGAUGAAAGAGUCACCACGGGUUGUGCGAAGAAAGUCACUGCGAAGUUUAAGAAGAAGAUUCUGAUUUGGAGAAGCAAAAUGAUUUUCAAGAGCUACCCAAGUGUCACGGGCGGUGGUCUUAAAAGCUACGGUGGUGAGAACUUUAUGGUGAAGAGAACCGUUGAUGAGAGAGAGAGAGAGAGAAAACAAGCUGAUCUUUCUAGACCUAAUCAUCAUACUCUAGGUUGGGGAUGAGAGACAGAGAAGUAGAUUCAUUAGCCUUAGCCUUUGGGUCAGGGGUGGUCAGAAAAGGAUACAGAGAAGUGCCGUCAACAAAGCCGAGCAAGAGGCGACUGCGAAGGACAGGAACAAUUUGAGCAAGCCACAUCGGAUAAUUAUCACUCUCGAGACGAAUGAAGAUAACAUGAUGAAUGCUAGGAAAAUCAAUAGAGGAGGAAGAAGCCAUGGGUGCCCAAAAAAAAAAUAGGGAACAAGAAAAUUGAGGAUCGAAGACUGUGAGUCUCAAGCUCUUUGUACCAUGAAAGGUUUUGAAUAUUCUCGAUGAUUUUCAUUGAACAAUCAUGUGAUAAUUAUAUACAAUGCUUUGUUUGGUGUCUACACAAAGGAUUUCCUAUUCUAGGCAAGAAUUAAGUCCUUGAGAGACAAGGAAUAUAUACAGUAAAUCAAUGAAAUAAAUACAAAUAAAACCGGAAACUAAAUCACGUCUCAUUAUGUGUGCCCUCUUGGGUUUCUGCCCUUGGUUUAGAUGUGUUUUUGCAAUUUGUUGGCUAUCAAAGGACUAUGCGUUUUUCCUCAUAGAAUGCCUAUUUCGACAAUUAAGAUGUGAUGCGGUUCUCCUUGUGGGUCUAUAUGUUGGUGUUUAAUUAAUUUUGUUCUUUCUUGUUUUCGUCUUUUGUGGUGUGAGUCAGACUCUAUUGUUUGUCCUUGUUUUUUCCCAAGUAGUUUUCUUAGAAAUGUUUUAAUAAGGCUAUUGUAUUCAUGCCAGUCUUUAAAUGCCAAUUUAGCUUAUGAAUGAAAUAUUCUUAUCAAAAAAUACUUAUUCAAAUUUUUACAUAUAUGAAUUAUAGUAAUAUUAAUUUAAACCUCAUUUAGUAUCACUCCUAUCAAGUAGGCCCUCUUGCAAUUUUUAGAAGUUAAAACCCAUGCUAUGCUUUUUUUUUUUUGUUUUUUUUAAAACACUAUUUUUUUAUUUUUUGUUUAAUUUAAGUUUUACCAUAGCAGACAAAAGAAUACGCCCAUCCCUUAUCCACCAAAAUUGCUCGUUCCAGACUUAUCCUUGUAGUAAUUUAUUUUUUUAUUUUGUGCUGAAUACUAAUACAACAUAGCUGGACUUUGCCACAAUUACAAUGAGCCCUUUAUCCCAAAUCAAGAAGAAACCACCCAACAAAAACAAUGUAAGCAACUCGUCAGGAGAAGCUUGAUCUCUGGGAUUCAGUUGCAUAAUAUAACCAGAAUGCUAGCUCCUCCUUCUUCCCUACUCAACAAUGCAUAGAUUAUAUACACAAACAUAUCUUAUUUCUAUAAAAACUAAUUAUUAUUAUUAUUUUAUUAGCUGAGAGGGAGCUGCGAGGUAGGUGGUAAGCAGUGACAUAUUCUGUUCACAUAUGAAAGCUGUAUAUUCACCACAUGAUACAAAUUAGUAAAUUACAAUACAAGAUUGGAAAGUGCCUAAAGGCAGAGGAUAAAAAAGUCCUAUCACGCCUCACAUAAAGGAGGAAAACCCAAGCACUGGAACAGAGAAAAUGAAGAUGCAAAGAAGCAGACCAAACAGACCAAAACCAAUAUAUCAUCUUCCACUCUUCUUCUUCUUCUUCUUCUUCUUGUCUGCUGUCUUUCACUGUGGUUUAGUUUCAUCAUCAAAUACCAAGGGAGCAAAAGAAGCUGCAGUUGCUGGGUUUGGAUACAAAAUUCAGUCAGUCAACUAUGAUUCUUCUGGGAACUCAUUGACUGCUAAUCUUGGCCUCAUCAAGAAAUCCUCCCUCUACGGACCCGACAUCCCAAAUCUCAACCUUCGCGCCAGGUACUUCGUAAUUAACCAUUCUCAAUUUAUUAAUCUUACAUUAGUUUAUAUUCUCACGUUUUCAUUUUUUUAAUUCUCAUUAGUCAUUUGGGGUUGACCAUUUGAUUAGGAUAUUGCAAAACAUCUCAACCGUCCAUAAUAUAGAAUAUGUAGCUAAGACCCUUAUUGACCACCAAAAACCCAAUUAGCAUUUUCACUCCACAAUAUUAGCCAUACAAAUUGAGGACUAUUAUUAAAUUAAUUGCUCUCUUGCUUACUAGAUGCUUGCCAUAACUUCUUAAACUCGGAUUGUCGUACAUAAUAUUAAUAUGCGUUACUAUGUCAUUCAGAUUCACAGUCUUACAAUAUAAUUAAACAUCUCAUGUCAUCAAAUGGUGACAAGUUUUUCACAAGUUUAUGUUAGAAAACUAAUUGGCCCUUGUGCAGCUAUGAAACCAAAGAUCGGCUAAGAAUUCGAAUAACAGACUCAAAGCACCAAAGAUGGGAAAUCCCACAACAAAUAAUCCCCCGCCAGACAACUUCACAACAUCCACAACAAUGUCAAACCCGCAACAAACACCUCGUGAUCUCCAACGACCUUGUCUUCACUCUCCACAACACCACCCCAUUCGGCUUCACCGUCACCCGCCAAUCCUCCAAAGAUGUCAUUUUCGACUCCUCCCCCAACCCAUCAAACCCCGACACCUUCUUGGUCUUCAAGGACCAAUACAUCCAGCUCUCCUCCUCCCUCCCCAAAGCCAGGUCCUCCCUUUUCGGCCUCGGCGAGCACACCAAGUCCUCCUUCAAGCUCACCCCCAACCAGACCUUGACACUCUGGACAGCUGACAUUGGCAGCGCCAAUGCUGACGUCAACCUCUACGGGUCCCACCCCUUCUACCUGGACGUCAGGUCAGCUUCUCCAGAUGGCAAGGCCGACAGCGCCGGAACAUCUCAUGGAGUGUUGCUGCUGAAUAGCAAUGGCAUGGACAUAACAUACGGCGGUGAUAGAAUUACUUAUAAGGCCAUUGGUGGAAUUGUGGAUUUGUAUUUCUUUUCUGGGCCUACGCCGGAGUUGGUGGUGGAGCAGUAUACAGAGCUCAUUGGUCGCCCCACCCCUAUGCCCUAUUGGUCUUUUGGUAAGUUUGUUUGCAUUCAAAUUCCACUUCUCUUAGGUAGGUACUAUAUAUUAUCACAUUUCUCGAAUUGCAUUAGUAGACAGGCGCCAUGUCACAUGACCAGUUGAAAUGGUACAAAUAGUUUUGUUCUAUGAUUGAAAUGUGCAUAUAUAGUCCUUGUUUGAUAUUAGCAUGGUCCAAAAAUGUCCUUCCUACUAGCAUAGUAUGCUUUUUCAUCUUAUUUUGGAAUCACAUUGACUUUGUUCACUUAUUCUCUGCUGAAGGAUUCCACCAGUGUCGAUAUGGUUACAAGAAUGUUUCCGAUCUUGAGGGUGUGGUUGCUGGCUACGCAAAAGCCGCUAUCCCUCUUGAAGUUAUGUGGACAGACAUUGAUUACAUGGAUGCAUACAAGGAUUUUACUCUUGAUCCCAUCAACUUCCCAUUGGAUAAGAUGAAGAAAUUUGUCAACACCCUUCACCAAAAUGAUCAGAAAUAUGUGCUCAUCUUGGACCCUGGUAUGUUCUCUCUGCAGCAAAAUUGAUGUUACAUGCAGUUUGUCUGAUGAGGCAGAAAAUGAUGGUAUUAUGACUCUCACAGGUAUCAGUGUGAAUAAGAGCUAUGGAACCUACAACAGAGGGCUGAAAGCAGAUAUAUUUAUAAAACGUGACGGAAUUCCUUACCUGGGAAGUGUUUGGCCUGGCCCUGUCUAUUUCCCUGACUUUGCACAUCCACAAAGUGAAAAAUUUUGGGCUAAUGAGAUAAAAAUAUUUCAAGAUGCUCUGCCUUUCGAUGGUCUUUGGCUUGAUAUGAAUGAGCUAUCCAAUUUCAUCACGUCCCCUCCCACUCCAUCUUCUACACUUGAUGACCCUCCUUACAAGAUUAACAAUGCCGGGGUCCUGCGUCCCAUCAAUAACAAUACUAUUCCGGCAUCAGCGCUACACUUUGGUAACAUCACAGAAUAUGAUGCUCAUAACUUAUAUGGACUCUUGGAAUCCAAAGCAACAAACAAGGCCUUAGUCAAUGUGACUGGUAAAAGACCAUUUAUACUUUCUAGAUCAACUUUUGUAAGCUCUGGUACGUACACAGCACACUGGACUGGAGACAAUGCUGCAAAAUGGAGUGAUCUGGCAUACACAAUUCCAGCAAUUCUGAAUUUUGGCCUCUUCGGAGUUCCGAUGGUUGGAGCUGAUAUAUGUGGAUUCUCUGGAAAUACUACUGAAGAGCUCUGCAGGCGGUGGAUUCAGGUAACUUAUGAGCCUUCAAAUUGAACACUUCCACAAAAACUAGACCACAUUAUACAUCUUGUUUCACCUAGAACUUUGCUAUGCUGUCAAUUAUAAUCAUCAGAACUCGUGCAACUAACUUAACUAUGCUUUGUCUCUAUGUAGCUAGGGGCCUUUUACCCUUUUGCAAGAGAUCACUCAGAGAAGUUUACAAUCCGUCAAGAGCUCUAUCUUUGGGACUCAGUGGCUGCAACAGCAAGGAAGGUUCUUGGCCUGCGCUAUCGGUUGCUCCCCAUGUUUUACACAUCAAUGUAUGAGGCACACAAAAAGGGGACCCCCAUUGCAAGACCCCUUUUCUUCUCAUUUCCUCAAGAUAUCAGAACUUAUGAGAUCAACACUCAGUUUCUGAUUGGCAGAGGUGUAAUGGUGUCACCUGUGUUGAAGCCAGGAGUAAGUUCAGUUGAUGCAUAUUUUCCUGCAGGAAACUGGUUUGAUCUCUUCAACUACUCAAACUCGGUAAGUGUAAAAUCGGGAGAGCACGUUACACUGGAUGCACCACCUGAUCAUAUCAACGUACAUGUCCGUGAAGGAAACAUUUUGGCCUUACAAGGAGAGGCCUUGACAACAGAAGCAGCCCGAAAGACUGCAUUCGAACUUUUGGUUGUUAGCAGCAGCAAUGGACAGAGCACUGGAGAAGUUUUCUUGGAUGAUGGAGAGGAAGUGGAAAUGGGAGGAAAGGGAGGCAAGUGGAGUUUAGUGAGAUUUUACUGUGGAACAGCAAAUGGAAGUGUAUCUGUAAGAUCAACGGUUGUAAAUGGAGGAUUUGCUUUAAGCCAAAAAUGGAUCAUUGAUAAAGUUACCAUCAUUGGGUUGGACAAGGUUGAUGGAUUGGAAAGGUAUGCAUUGAACAUUACUAAGGGAGCAAAUUUGAAGGGAGGACACUCAGAUAUCAGGGCCAGCUUUGACAGCAAUAAGCGAUUCGUGAUGGUAGAGAUUUCCAAAUUAUCCAUUCUUAUAGGAGCAGAUUUUAACUUGGAGCUGAAGUAUUGAUACUAGUGAAAAUUAACACUCUUCUAGAGAGAGAACAAUAAGUUACAUUCCACAUUCAGAUUUAUGGCUCCCCUGGAAGACAUGUUUUAUGCAUCACCUGUAAUGUUGGAACAUUUUUAUUUUUCUAAUAAAACGCAGUAAAAAUGAAAUGACAGAUUGGCAACAGAAAACAUCUUGAAAGAGGAUAGGUCUAACAAGAUAACUGUUAAUUCUCCAAAACACAGUAAAAAAAUGAAAUGACAUACACUUGUUAGAUUGCACCUCAACCAAUUACCCGCACCCAAACACUGAACCAAAAACCAAUACAGCAAAUCACUCAUACUGAUGUCAACUCCAAAAACCAAAAGCCAGUACAUUUUUACCAUUUAUUUGUGGAAUGAUUUUCUGAUUGCACGGAUCUGAAGUCAACUCCACAGACUCUAUUUUAAUGGCCUUCAUCAUUUUAUCUGUUCAACAAAUCAAUUUUUUAUUAUUAUCAGAAACAUGACAUAAGAUAUAUCAAAUUGUCAAACGGCACUUUGCCAAAAACUGAAAGGUGCUCCAACAAUAGUGCAGGGAAGAAAUCUGGAGGGGGAAAUGCAACAGUAUAAAAGAAAUUUGUUGAACCAGAAUGAUGAAGUGUUCAAUAUACUCCGACAAAUAUCAAUCUAAAAACCAGGAACUUAUGAAAAAUCAGGUCCAAACUCCACUCUAUAUAAAAGACAAAUUUAACUGAAAACAUCCCUCAAUCAUUUAACCAUACCUUGAUUAAUACAAAUUCAAAUAAAAAAAGGAGCCAAACAAAAUAUACAUUACCAUGUCCAAAUUAAUACGUUUCCUGGCGAGCCUGAUGAUCUGCACCUAUUUCACCUGCACAUAUAUCUACAAGGAAAUAAACCCAAAUUAAUAGGUUUAUAUUACCCCUCUGCCCAUUGUCCACUCUAAGACUUGGAAAUCAUCAGAGGGGUAGUGCAAUAAAAUCAAAUUAAAUUCCCGAUCGAAACUCUUCCUCCCCAUAAAAGAAUUCUCCAAUCCAAACAUCUGAACAACACAUUUUCACUGCAGGUUUCGUAUUUAAACAAUGAACCAGACUGAAAUGUGAAUAAGUACUCAUGAAUCAACAAGCUAAGAGUUACUGUAUAACUAGUAUGGUAUAGGGUUUGUUUUGGUGAAUGAAAAUUGUGAGAGGCGAUGCAUUCCCCCCAAUAAGUCAAGUACACUGAUCAAGUUCUAUUUAGUCUUAUUCAAGACUCUACACUUGAAGUCAAAUAGAGUGAACUCUAACUCAAUAUCAACACAAAGUUUUUUCUUUUUUAAAAGGACGUUUGUAUAGCGGCUUUCACAAUAUAAAGGCGGUAGCCCUCUCCAUUAGAAAUUAAGUGCGCACCUACUCUAAUGGUAGCUUUCACACAGUCCCUCACGGGUAGCCCUCUCCAUGUUUACUAAAUGGUGUACUAGCUUCACAAUAUAGGAAGCCGUUAAUGUGGUAGCUUUCACUCUAUUAGGGUGGUAGCCAUCUCUGUUAGAAGUGAAGCAUAUACACCUACCUACAUCAACAUUAGCUUUCACUCAACCCUAAUAGGUAGCCUUCUCCUAAUUUAUUGUGUACACCUGUUUUGUAUAGGUAACUUUCACACCA
rnacentral:lncRNA from 1 species